rnacentral:rRNA from 1 species
GCAACUCGCCUGCACGAAGUUGGAAUUGCUAGUAAUCGUGGAUCAGCAUGCCACGGUGAAUACGUUCCCGGGUCUUGUACACACCGCCCGUCACACCAUGGGAGCCGGUAAUACCCGAAGUCAGUAGUCUAACCGCAAGGAGGACGCUGCCGAAGGUAGGAUUGGCGACUGGGGUGAAGUCGUAACAAGGUAAC